UACGUAGGGGCAAGCGUUGCUCGGAAUCACUGGGCGUAAAGGGUGCGUAGGCGGGUCUUUAAGUCAGGGGUGAAAUCCUGGAGCUCAACUCCAGAACUGCCUUUGAUACUGAAGAUCUUGAGUUCGGGAGAGGUGAGUGGAACUGCGAGUGUAGAGGUGAAAUUCGUAGAUAUUCGCAAGAACACCAGUGGCGAAGGCGGCUCACUGGCCCGAUACUGACGCUGAGGCACGAAAGCGUGGGGAGCAAACAGG
rnacentral:rRNA from 1 species